rnacentral:lncRNA from 1 species
AAGGCUUUGGAAAGAUUUUAUUUCAAUUUAAACCCUAGGGUUUACACCCAUUUGAGCUUUGGAUCGUCAAACCCAUAGGGUUUAUUUAUAAAAGGGGUUUAUUGCAUAAAUAAGCUAUCCCAUAAUUUUUGGAUAAUUAUUUGGAGUUGAAAAACUAUUUCAUUUAAAUAGUUAUAUAGCCCUAACAAUAAUUAUAGGGCAAUUGUAUUUUUAUAUAUUUUAUUUUGAGGGGAAAUUACUCCCAAAAGAUGAAUCAUGAUAAAACAUGAUUUUACAAAAAACUUGGAAUUUAUUUGGUCCAAUUUGGAGUUCAAAUUUAAAAGAUAUCAAAGGAAUAAGAAAAACAGAAAAAGAAAAGGCUAAAAGAAAAAAAAAGGGGGCAAACCGGACUGGCCCGGCCGUUUUGGGCCGAACCGGCCCCGCUUCGCCCACACCGAGCCGCUGACAGGCGGGGUCCGCCUGUCAGACUUUGUCCCCGAAGGAAGGCGCGGAAUCCCCGCGUCGCCUGCUGUUUUCGCCGCCGCGCCGUCUCCGCCGC